CCUGGUCCUGCUGACAGCCUCAGGUGAACACCAGGAAAGGAAAAGCAAACCAUGGAAGGUCCUGGAAUAUGCGCAGGGAGAAAUAAUGAAGAUCUUUAUUGUGCUGCUGCUGCUGCUGGUGGUGGUGUCUUCCUUUGGAAGUUGGGAUGCUUUGUGUGGGAUUCACGAGGGCUGCAGAUGUUCUGCCUGCCGAGCAGCUGGGGGAGAAGGAGGCUUUUCCUUGUGGAAUCCCAGUGGAUCCAGCACCAAGGGCUCUACGUAAAGGACUUACCUUUUUCCACCCAGAAGAGCAGAGAGCUAUCAGGAGGGCUGGUACCCCUGGCAGUCAAAUAGCUCAGUCUGGCUAGGUGAGAGGAGCAGGGAGGGAUUUAAACUGGGGGUCAGCAGUGAAAACAGGUGAGAAUCUGGGCUAAUUCACCCCCAAAUCAUCGUGGGUCAGCAUUUCAGUAGUGUCUGUGCUGUCAGGCAGGCUUUGGUUGGUUCUUCCUCUACCAAAUGUGCUCCUCAUGCUUCUCUGAGUGCCACAAGUCCUUUUUGGGGUGCUGGAGGAGGGGUAGCUUGGGGCUGGGAGAGUUGCCUUGCUCUCCAUUGGAAGGGAGAGCCAAGGAAUAAUCCCAUUUUCCAGCCAUCCUCAUACCAACAGAGUUUGUGUGUCGUGUCUGACCUCCUGUAACAAGGUUAAACCACAGGGAUCCCCUGGAGAAGUUGCCAUUCAUCUUUUAUAUGUGAAGAUUUUCGAGUAUAGAGAGGGGAUAAACCUAAUACGGUGUUUAAUGGAAAAAAAUUAUGACACCAAUAACACAUCUGUGUCUGUAAUUUCACAGGUUUUCUCUCUGUAUAUUUAUAUAUGUAUAUAUGUAUAAUUUAAUAUCAGCCUCAGGGUUGUGGUCUCACAUGUCAUCAGCUUGCAGGAAACUGGAUCCUUGGCCUAAGUAUCAGAUGAGUUGCUAAUGUUUGGAAAAAAAGCAAAAAACAUGCUUUAGGUCUCUGUUUUAUGGCUGUUAUUGAAGUAAGAAUUUGUGAUUGUAACCCGAGCACUCGCCUGGCCAACAUGUUUUCAUUAUUGUCUGGAUAAUUGAAAGUCCAGGCAAAUUUAGAUGCUGGGAGACACUGCACAAGAAGGUCUUGGAGCUCACAAGUGUUGAGGUGUCUCAAAUUAAGAAUGAAUAUAUGAAUAUAUUUCAGCAUUUAAUGCAAGGUUUGAAGCUUUAUUUUAUUCCCCAGACGUGGCUGAUUAACUUGUGCUUAUUUCAUUUCCAGCACUCCCAGGCUGUCACCCACAGCUCUGCUCUCUUGAGCUGCACUUUGGCUUCUCAGGCUUAUUUUUGCUGCAGUUCAGGAUAAACAAUCCAUGAAAAUGUUAUUCCAUUGUCAUGGAAGGAAUUCUGCUUCCCUCUUUUGGGAAGGGCUGGCAGCAAAGCCUUUCUGAUCUAUGGAGAUGCACCUGUGGAAAGAAACUGCUGAGGCAUCACCAGCCUGUAAAACCAAGUUUAGGCAUUUCUGUCCACAUCCCACCAGCUCUUAAGGAA